GACAGUUUGGCCGAGUGGUCUAAGGCGCCAGAUUUAGGCUCUGGUCCGAAAGGGGGUGGGUUCAAUUCAUACAGCUGUCA
rfam:Nicotiana attenuata strain TT chromosome 1, whole genome shotgun sequence.